GACGUAGGGCGCGAGCGUUGUCCGGAUUUAUUGGGCGUAAAGAGCGUGUAGGCGGCCAGGUAGGUCCGUUGUGAAAACUCGAGGCUUAACCUCGAGACGUCGAUGGAAACCAUCUGGCUAGAGUCCGGAAGAGGAGAGUGGAAUUCCUGGUGUAGCGGUGAAAUGCGCAGAUAUCAGGAAGAACACCCGUGGCGAAGGCGGCUCUCUGGGACGGUACUGACGCUGAGACGCGAAAGCGUGGGGAGCGAACAGG
rnacentral:rRNA from 1 species